rnacentral:rRNA from 1 species
AGUGAACGCUGGCGGUAGGCCUAACACAUGCAAGUCGAACGGCAGCACAGUAAGAGCUUGCUCUUACGGGUGGCGAGUGGCGGACGGGUGAGGAAUACAUCGGAAUCUACUUUUUCGUGGGGGAUAGCGUAGGGAAACUUACGCUAAUACCGCAUACGACCUACGGGUGAAAGCAGGGGAUCUUCGGACCUUGCGCGAUUGAAUGAGCCGAUGUCGGAUUAGCUAGUUGGCGGGGUAAAGGCCCACCAAGGCGACGAUCCGUAGCUGGUCUGAGAGGAUGAUCAGCCACACUGGAACUGAGACACGGUCCAGACUCCUACGGGAGGCAGCAGUGGGGAAUAUUGGACAAAGGGCGCAAGCCUGAUCCAGCCAUACCGCGUGGGUGAAGAAGGCCUUCGGGUUGUAAAGCCCUUUUGUUGGGAAAGAAAAGCAGCAGGUUAAUACCCCGCUGUUCUGACGGUACCCAAAGAAUAAGCACCGGCUAACUUCGUG